UUUCCGUAGGUGAACCUGCGGAAGGAUCAUUAGUGAAUUCAAAUUUCUUUCCUUAGGGAAAGUGCAGUUUGGGUCCUUGUGCCCAAGCUGUGGAAUACACAUCCUUAACACCUGUGAACUGUCUGUCAAGAACAAGGCUUUGGCCUUGGACUUGUACAUUUUUAUCAAACUUUACUCUGUAAAAAAUGUCAAUCUAUUAUAAACUUAAUAAAACUUUUAACAACGGAUCUCUUGGCUCUCGCAUCGAUGAAGAACGCAGC
rnacentral:misc_RNA from 1 species